rnacentral:snRNA from 1 species
CUGACUUAGCUACAAAAAAAGCU